rnacentral:rRNA from 1 species
GGAUGAACGCUGGCGGCGUGCCUACUCCAUGCAAGUCGAGCGAACAGACGAGGAGCUUGCUCCUCUGACGUUAGCGGCGGACGGGUGAGUAACACGUGAAUAACCUACCUAUAAGACUGGGAUAACUUCGGGAAACCGGAGCUAAUACCGGAUAAUAUAUUGAACCGCAUGGUUCAAUAGUGAAAGACGGUUUUGCUGUCACUUAUAGAUGGAUCCGCGCCGCAUUAGCUAGUUGGUAAGGUAACGGCUUACCAAGGCAACGAUGCGUAGCCGACCUGAGAGGGUGAUCGGCCACACUGGAACUGAGACACGGUCCAGACUCCUACGGGAGGCAGCAGUAGGGAAUCUUCCGCAAUGGGCGAAAGCCUGACGGAGCAACGCCGCGUGAGUGAUGAAGGUCUUCGGAUCGUAAAACUCUGUUAUUAGGGAAGAACAAAUGUGUAAGUAACUAUGCACGUCUUGACGGUACCUAAUCAGAAAGCCACGGCUAACUACGUG